UGCCCUGAGGUGAGAUCACGCUAAAGUGACAUUUAGAGAAGCACCCUAAAAGGUGCCAGGGUCU
rnacentral:tRNA from 1 species